rnacentral:lncRNA from 1 species
AUUCGAACACCUUGAGCGAAGAAGAUUGAGAGAAUGACUAAAACACAAUAGUGAAACACCUGAGGGACUGUUAGUUUCUAACUUUUCUUGUAGAAUUCUAACAAUGUCUUUUCUUAAUGAACUAACUGAAAGAAAGCUCUGCAUGGAAGAGUUUCGAAGAAUGGUUAAAGAAGUUACUUGGGUAUAAGUAAAACAAAGAU